rnacentral:rRNA from 1 species
GCGGGUCGAUGCCGGGGGACUCUAGCGGAACUGCCAGCGUAAGCUGCGAGGAAGGUGGGGAUGACGUCAAAUCAGCACGGCCCUUACGUCCAGGGCUACACACGUGUUACAAUGGCCGGUACAGAGGGCAGCCACCCCGCGAGGGGGCGCGAAUCCCGAAAGCCGGUCCCAGUUCGGAUCGGAGUCUGCAACCCGACUCCGUGAAGCUGGAUUCGCUAGUAAUCGCGCAUCAGCCACGGCGCGGUGAAUACGUUCCCGGGCCUU